rnacentral:rRNA from 1 species
UUUAGAUACCCCACUAUGCCUAGCCCUAAAUCAUGAUGCUUGCUUUAACGAAGGCAUCCGCCUGAGUACUACGAGCACAAACGCUUAAAACUUUAAGGACUUGGCGGUGCCCCAAACCCACCUAGAGGAGCCUGUUCUA